rnacentral:ncRNA from 2 species
UAUUUUAGCUAGGGGUGCCUUUUAAGGCUUUUAUAGUUGAUAUCAUUAAAAAUAUUUAACUAAUAAAAGACUUUAGGCUGAGAGGAGAAAUCCAACCCUUUGAACUUGAUGUAGUUAAUACUACCGUAGGGAAGCAGUGCAUUGUAUAU